GAUGAACGCUGGCGGCGUGCCUAAUACAUGCAAGUCGAACGCGAGAGGAGGGAGCUUGCUCCCUCUGAUCGAGUGGCGGACGGGUGAGUAACACGUAGGCAACCUGCCCAUCAGCCGGGGAUAACUGCGGGAAACCGUGGCUAAUACCGGAUAAUCCUCUCCACCGCGGGGUGGGGAGUUGAAAGACGGUUUCGGCUGUCGCUGAUGGAUGGGCCUGCGGCGCAUUAGCUGGUUGGCGGGGUAACGGCCCACCAAGGCAACGAUGCGUAGCCGACCUUAGAGGGUGAGCGGCCAAACAGGAACAGAGACACGGCCCAGACUCCAACGGGAGGCAGCCUUAGGGAAUCUGCAGCAAUGGACGCAAGUCUGACGGAGCAACGCCGCGUGAGUGAAGAAGGGUUUCGGCUCGUAAAACUCUGUUGUUAAGGAAGAACGCCAGGUAGAGUAACUGCUACCUGUGUGACGGUACUUAAUCAGAAAGCCACGGCUAACUACGUGCCAGCAGCCGCAGUAA
rnacentral:rRNA from 1 species